AUGUCAGGAGGACAUCUCCUGAUCAGUUGCUUGUAUCUUUCCCAAGCUUCAUAGAGGGAUUCACCCUCUUUUUGCCUGAAAGUUUGUACUUCCACCCUGAGCUU